AACGCACAUUGCGCCCCCUGGUAUUCCGGGGGGCAUGCCUGUCCGAGCGUCAUUUCUCCCCUCCAGCCCCGCUGGUUGUUGGGCCGCGCCCCCCCGGGGGCGGGCCUCGAGAGAAACGGCGGCACCGUCCGGUCCUCGAGCGUAUGGGGCUCUGUCACCCGCUCUAUGGGCCCGGCCGGGGCUUGCCUCGACCCCCAAUCUUCUCAGAUUGACCUCGGAUCAGGUAGGGAUACCCGCUGAACUUAA
rnacentral:misc_RNA from 1 species